rnacentral:lncRNA from 1 species
UUUUAUUCAGCAUAUAUUUGGUUUCUUCGAGGUUUUUGUGCGUCUGGGUGAGAUCCCAGUGUAGCCCUGAGCCUUUUUCAAGGUAAGCUUUUAAGUACAAAGACCAUGCCCUGGGUAGGCAUAUUUCAGUUAACAAGAGCAGUUAGUCAGAAAGCAAGGGUAAUACAUAUAGAGACUUUCCCAGAACUAUGGACUUUGCUGGACUUGGCUUUUGUUUUAAUUUUGGCUGGUGAUGCUGUCUCCAUGCUGAGUUUUGUGGGCUGAAUGGUAUUUCCAACAUGGAGUCAGUUGUGCUAAGCAUCCUACUAAGGUUUGGAGCCCUAUUACAUUCUCCACAAGUCUUAGUGAAUAUGUCAAAUCAUGGACUCACCCUGCUCUAAAGAAGUAUAGUUGAUCCUAAGGACCAUUAAGUUUACUGAACUGAUACAUAAUUGGUCGUAUUGUUUAAGAUGCAAGGGCCUGCCAUUAAUCUGAUCAGAAUGAGAAUUCAAGGUUCAGCCAGUGCUGGUAAUGGAAUAGUUAGCCAGGGGAUCAAGAGGACAGACACUGGGACCAAUUUGACUUAUGUCAUUGUCUCUUUCUCUUUCUGAGAUUUUUUCCAACAUGGCAAGAUUUAUUUCUAUUUAUUCCAUAUUAAGUAGCAUAGAAAGGACCGGUUUUUCCAUAAGCCAUACAUAGUCUUCCUUUGUAUGUCCAGUCUCAGAAGAGAACACUUGGUCUGAGCAACUCAGAAAGUUUGUGGACCCCUGCUGUGUAGCCUGGUCAAGGUCAGUCAUCAGAGUCCCACCAGUUAUUUCCUGGAGAAUAAUCUUUCCCUCUGGUGUCCUUCAUCUACCUGUGGGUUUGAGCUGUCCAUUUUUUUUUUAUCUACCAUGGAAUCUCAGGCAGCACUGGGUCGGGUAUGUCUUCGGAAUAUCAAUAGGUCCCACUGGUCUUAGGGCUAUUUGUUAGACAACCAGGUCAACAGCCCAGCAGUAGAAGACAGUACUUCAUAGGGGAAAACAAAUAGCCACUCGCAGGGCUGUUUGGUAUAUAUACAGGUCUGUAUAUAUGGUGGUGGACUUUCUUUUCCUCAUCUGAGAGCUUGGGUUAGAUCUGUAUUGCUCUCUGGGCUGAGGUACCUGUCUUGGACCCAGAUCUUUUCAGUUAAAGUAAGUACUGCAGCUUCCACAUUCUUAGUUCCAUCUUUCAUCUUGUGACAGUCACGGAUGAGCAUCUGCAGGUUGUCAUCAGGCAAGAAGGUAUUGAUAGCGUGAUUUUCUUAAAACUAUAUUCUAGGGUGAGGCAGGAAUAGGGCCUGAUAGGGGUUCACACAGGCACUAGACAGCUAAGCAUUCUGGUGUUCCUCAGAGGAGGGUCUCAGCCACAUCCUGGGGGUACUCUGAGCAUAAGAUCCUAAUUCAGAGUUAACUUUUUUGCUUGUUUGUUUUUUUCCAUUAGACCAACAGCAACCACCACUGCUCUUAAGACAGGUGGACCAUCCUGUGGCUGCAUUGUUCAACCAUUUGAACAGGUAUGUUACAGGGCGUUUCCAUGGACCCAAAGUUUGGGUUAAAACCUCUUUUAUCUUUUGUUUCAUGGACAGAUGAUAAGGUUUUGAGAUAUCUGGGAGUGUUAGAGCUAGACCCAAAGUCAGAAUUGCUUAUAAAGCCUCAAAUGUUAUGUGUUUAAUCUCGGUCCAGAUUAGGGCUCCGUGCCCCCAGGUUGUGCUGGUGUAUAGAGACAUUGCCUCUGGUAUCCAAAAGCAGCAAUAGGAGUUGGGGUCUGAAGGAUGGCAGCAGUCCUUUUGCCUCCUCUCAGCUGGUAGCCAAGAUAGGCAGACGCUAAUAUACAAAGCUAGGCUUUCUCUGCUGAUUUCUGUAAGCCAAGGUUUGUAACUCUUCACAGCAGUCCCUCAGCAGCCCUUUUAUAAUCUGUUUUCCCAGGAAACCUCUGAUAGAAGGGCAAGAAUUCAGCUCUUAGUCUCUCAUCAAACAGGGGUGGCAAAAUUUUAAGUCUUCAGGGACAACUGUCCAGGUAUAUUGCCUGCUUUACUCUCCCUCUGGGUCUGUCAUUUAAAAGCAAAUAUGGGUUGACUCACCUCUGCCAAUGAGAGACCAAAGAAUGCAUCUCUCAGGUCCAAGACAGUAUAUAUCUGUUUCUCUGGAGAAAUCUGACUCAGGAAAAUGAGAGGUCCCAGGUUUCUUCACAGGUAGGCAAGGUAUAUUCCAGGGUGACUGACAGAACACCAAGAUGCCUGUCUUUCCACCCAGGCAAUACAGAGGCAGUUUCCCCUUUUUGUUUCCAAGGUCCCUGGAUAUUGUUUAAUCUGAAUGGUUCUGAGAUUGAUCCCUGGUGUCUUGAGGUCUGGUCUCUGGGGAUCUCCAUGGAACCUCCAGAAAUUGUGUAGAGUAACCACUAGAGAAGACUGGGCUUUAAGCCACUAGGAUGUCUUUAUUAGCUGACAGGCAACUGCACUGGGUAUUUAGGAUCCCAGUAUAACACUGGGUGGUUAAGAACACAGGGUUCUCCUGCACGCCCUUUGAGUUCAGUUCUGAGCACUUUGUCGCCACCUUCUGGCCAUGACUGGCAUUGCAUGUUACUUACACACACAAAAAAAGCCAUUCAAAUCUCAGCUCUCAGUCACUUGGAGUCAGCACCUACAUUUUUCUUUUCAAGAACUCUACUUUUUUUAAGUUUAAUUUUGAACUGAAGAGAAAAAAAGUUUUAUAGUGACUUGUCUACUGAAUAUAGAAUAUUUUGUGAACAGGAUGGGUCUUUAAGAGGAAAGUAAUUGUUCUUUCCUGCUUUGGCUGUCUGUUUCUAAAAGUAGGGAGUUGAAGUUUCAUGCUGUUGUACUGUAUUCUUCUCAUGUUAGAGCCCUUGAUACUUCCUUUAUAUAUUUUAUAUAUCUUGACACUUAAUGUUAUAUUUCUUGUGGGAUAGCAUGGACCUUCCUGGCUUCUUUUGGUGCUUUGAUUUAAAGUCUUUUUGUAUACUUAGAAGUGAGGUAGAUUUUUGAUAAGGAACAAGUAUAGUAACUAUAAACUCGUAUAGUAGCUCUUGUCUUUUGAUUGGAUCAUUGAAUUUUCGUAUGUUCAAGGCAGUGCUGACAAGGUAAGCCUUUGGUGCAGCCAUUUUAUGACUUGCUUUCUAUUUUCGUUGUGGUUCCUCUCUUUUUCCAUCACGGUGUUGCUCUAUAGUUGGGAUUUAUUCAGUUUUUAAUUCCUUGUUUAUUUUUGUUCUGUAUGCAUUUUUUUAUUUGCGGAUAGCUUGAGACUUAAAACAUAGUGAUUAUAAGAAGGUAUUUUUCAGUAGUGUCAAUUUAGCAUGGCCAUGAUGGUGACAAUGGAAACCGCAGAGCACGAGCAAGAGGAAUUCAUGUGAAAACUACACUUAGGUUCCAGUUUUCCAUUUUCAAUUUUUGAUAUAGCAUUUGAUAUUUUUCUAUAUUGUCUAUCCCUAGCACGUAUGGUUAUCUUUUAAAUCAUUUUCUUUUACUGGAGAUACACAUUAUUUAUUUACCAUUCUUACAGAUUAGAGCAUUUUGAAUUCAUUUUUAUAAUUUGAUACUGGGUUUUUUGUUUCCAGUUUUUAAAAUUAAAUUUUCACACACG